rnacentral:tRNA from 1 species
GACGUCAUAGCCAAGUGGUCUACGGCGACAGUUUCGAAAGCUGUUCCUCUUUGAGGGCGCAUGUUCGAAUCAUGCUGGCGUCG